rnacentral:rRNA from 1 species
CCUACGGGAGGCUGCAGUAGGGAAUCUUCCACAAUGGACGAAAGUCUGAUGGAGCAACGCCGCGUGUGUGAUGAAGGGUUUCGGCUUGUAAAACACUGUUGUAAGGGAAGAAUGACAUUGAGAGUAACUGUGUAGUGUGUGACGGUAUCUUACCAGAAAGGAACGGCUAAAUACGUGCCAGCAGCCGCGGUAAUACGUAUGGUCCAAGCAUUAACCGGAUUUAUUGGGCGUAAAGCGAGCGCAGGCGGUUGGAUAAGUCAGAAGUGAAAGCCCAGAGCUGAACUGUGGAAGUGCAUUGGAAACUGGAUAACUUGAGUGCAGUAGAGGAGAGUAGAACUCCAGGUGUAGCGGUGAAAUGCGUAGAUAUCUGGAAGAACACCAGUGGCGAAGGCGGCUCUCUGGACUGUAACUGUCGUUGAGGCUCGAAAGUGUGGGUAGCAAACAGGAUUAGAUACCCUUGUAGUC